AAGCAUACAUUAUUCCAACCUUUCUAGAAUUCCUCCCAAAGAAAUAUACUACAAUGUAAUAGGAUACAAAUACAAAAUAGUAUUACAUGCAUUAAAAACUAUUAAAAAAUUGGGCCAAAACAGCAUAUAACAAUCAACAAGCACACCUCAUCAUUGCUUGAUUUUUUCUUCUUAUAACAUCCAAAUACAAAUUUAAGUAUUUUCAUCAAUAAUAAAAUCUUCAUAUUAGACUAUAUUACAAAUUGAGUCUCUAGCAAGCAUCCUCUACUAAAACAAUGAAUCAUUUAUCUUAAGAUCUCUAUUAUUCCUUUGCAUUAGU
rnacentral:lncRNA from 1 species